GGAGGGGGGACUACAGAGCCCAGGACUUCCUAGCAUCUCGCAAAAAGGCCUCGCCCAAGCAAAGCUGUGUGACCAUAAAAGGAGAGAGGCUGCGCGAACAGCUGAGCUCACUCACCAGGGAAUGUGGCAAUGAGGUGUGGAAUAAAGAGCAGUGGCUACAAAACUUCUGGAUGUGGAAAGCUACCUUCCUGGAACAGUAUGUGAAGCUGUCCCCACACUUGCGACCGACACAAGGACACCAGAAUGAGAGCUGGUAGAGAAACAUGUGACAAUUGCUGCCUGGAAGCUGACAACUCCAGAGUGCUACUGGGAAUGAGGUGAUUGCAGUGGAUUGGAAGGGAUUGAAAGAUGUGGACCAGAUUAAUAUGGAUAGCACCAGCUCACUGCAUGGCAGCAGCAUCCACCGACCCUCCACAGAGCAAACCCGGACAGAUUUCUCUUGGGAUGGUAUUAAUCUGUCCAUGGAAGACACAACCUCCAUUCUCCCCAAGCUGAAACGGAACUCCAAUGCCUAUGGAAUUGGGGCUCUGGCUAAGUCGUCUUUCUCUGGCCCCUUAGGGAUAUCCCGCAGCAUGAAGGAUCACGUCACAAAGCCAACAGCGAUGGGACAGGGCCGUAUGGCUCACAUGAUUGAGUGGCAAGGCUGGGGCAAAGGUAGCAGCCAGCAGCAGCACAUGCAGGAGGCUGUGCUCAAAGAUGCUGAUGCCUACUCGGACCUGAGUGAUGGCGAGAAGGAGGCCCGAUUUCUUGCAGGGGUGAUGGAGCAGUUCGCCAUCUCCGAGGCCACUCUGAUGGCCUGGUCCUCCAUGGAUGGUGAGGAUGUGAGUGUCAACUCCAACCAGGAGAACACAGCAGGCAACUACAGUGAGAACUACCAGGAGCUGAUGGAGAGCCAGGAUCACAUUGCCCAGACACAGUACGACAGCUGGCCUCACUCCUAUGUCUCUCAGGGCAUGUACUGCCUGGGCUCCUCUGAUGCUUGGGAGACCAGCGACCAGUCCCUCAUUGCUUCCCCCGCCACCGGCUCCUACCUAGGCCAGAACUUUGAGGAGACCCAGUCCAACCUGCAGGAGAGCACCUUGAUUCAGAGUGGCCUCAUCCAGCAGCAUCAGAUGCAACAGCAGCAGCCGCAGGCCCUGCUCCAGAACCCCGGGCUUGUUGAUGUGUGGCCCCCUCAGACUGCCCCAGGAGGAGGUGGUGGGGCCGAAUCCAGCACAUACAUAGGGGUGCACACAGAGGAGGAAGGAAACCCACUACUGGAGAAGGCCCCUCUGCUAAACAAGAAGCCCUCUCCAGAGGAGGACGAUGCUGUAUGCCGGGACCUGGAGUCACUGUCACCCCGGGAGGAGCUAGAACAUGCUGCACUCAGCCGCAAGGUCUCGGACGUCACUUCCUCUGGGGUGCAGUCCUUUGAUGAGGAGGAGGGGGAAGCAAACAACUGAUGUUGCCAUGGAGGAAUCCACCCAUCAGAGGGGGAAUGAAAGGACAGGAAAGCCUCGCCUCAGGUUCCCAGGCAGACACACCUUCCACGCUGACAUUUAAUUUUUAGCAAAGCAGAAGUAAAGGACCAGAGGUGUUUGAUGGGCAGAGCCCUGCCUGCCCAUCUUCAUGGACUGAUCUCCUGGCCCCAUCACUCUGGACAGCACGCUGGGUGCUUGGGGAACUCGGGACUUUAAAUCUUAUUGAUAAAGGGGGUUGGCUUUGGAUUCAGAGUGCUUGGAUGCUGGCACGUGUCUCCCAUGAUACAACAGUGGCUUGAUGCAGGGAGGUGGCUGUAUGGAUAGGAACUGUCUUGGCAGAACAGAUGUUGUUUUGGGGCUGCAAUCUGCUUUGAUCCAUGGAUAUGUGAAUACAGAAUCUGCCAAGAGCAGGGCACAAGGCCAUGGGGAUAUAGAAUGCACUGGUACAGGACAUGUGGCUUUGUGGAUAUAGGUUGCACUGGUUCAGGGAUUAUGGCUGAAAUACAGGAGAAGAGCAUAUGUUGUAGCCACUGCACUGAUAGGAUGGAUGAGCUAUGUGGAUAAAUACUGUACAGGACUUUAAUAGGAGAACCACAGCUGUAUGGACACAAGCUGUGCUCAGGUGUGGGUGGCGUGUCCAUGCAGACACGGGCUGUGCUCAGCUGUGGGUGAUGCAUGCAGACACGGGCUGUGCUCAGGCUCAGCUGUGGGUGAUGUGUCCAUGUAGACACGGGCUGUGCUCAGGUGUGAAUGGCAUGGCCGUAUGGAUCCAGAGCUAACCCUGUGUGCCAGUCUCUUUGAAACAUUUCUCUUUUGCUUGCUUUGACAUGUAUGUCUGCCUGGGAGAUGGAGGGGGGAUAUUUCCACAAGCUGCUGGGCACUACGUGCAUGGGGCAGGGAAGUGGGGCUCAUCAUCAGCCACUUUCUACUGUACAGAUGCAGUAACGUAAAGUUGACAUUCGUUUGGGAGUUUGUCCACCUCUGUGCUGCUGCCAGAAUCCUUUCUUCCUUGUCUUUGCAGGGAAGCCAGGAACAGCAGGAAAACCAGUAUCACUACUUUCCACUAUUUUUUUGUUGCUUUCUUUUUCUACAGUUUUAUAUUGCCAGUAACAGUUCUAAGCAAAGUGGGUAACAGAGGGGAAGGCCUGUAGGCUAACCACCACUGACUAUAACUACCACACUCAUCCCAGUGUCCCUGGUCCCUCUGUGGUGCCAAAUGUGAAGGGAGGAAAGAGGGUGAGAGGGGACCUUUUCUCCUCCCUCCUGUUCAUUACUCUUUCCUGCUUUACAUUUUCUGGUUUUUUUUCUUGACAAUGUAAAUAUUCCUGGGCACUCGUCUCUUUUUCCAAGUCCCUCCCAUCUCUCUUUCUGGGGUGGGGAUGGCUGGGUUUUGUGGGGGAUUCCCCAUUUGUACGGGUUCUAUAUUUUUGUUAACAAAGUUUAUGAUUCAUAGAAUGAUGGGGUUUUGGUCCCAUGUGAUUCUCCUUUUUGCUGCUGCAGACACACUGCAGAAGAAGGGACAUUAACCAAUAAUCUCGUCUCUAGACUUGCUAGAGAAUAAACAGGAGAUAAAAAUUUUGUGUGGGCAAUCAAUGUUCAGACAACAGAACAGAACCAGCAGGGGAUGAUAGAAGUGUUUGUUGGGUCUUUUUUGAAAUGUGGGCAGCAUAUGAGCAAUUGCUUCCCUCCAGCAAAGAAAUGCCAACAAAUGGCCAGUGAAGGGUGGGAGGGCUGGAUAAAUUAACCAAGCUGAAGAUCACCCUCUCUCUGCACUAACCCAGAGGCGUCUCUUCUUCACUUGCUCCAAGCCAGAGCCACUCUGUUCAACUGGGACACAGACAUUUAUCUCCUCCCUGAUGGUAGAACAAGUACUGCUGUUUGCAGCAUGGGAGAGCGAGGCAUGAUCCUCUCCUGUGCCAAGUUUGGAACCCAACCCAUGCAAUAUGGAUGCAGUAAGUAUCAGGAGAGGAGAUUGUGGCAGGCAUAUUAUCCAGGAGGCUAGGAGCUUGGACAGCCACAGGCAAACAGAAAUGGAUAAUGUCCAGGAGUCAAGAGGAGGGUGAAUUGGAGCCAUGGAGAUGGUAUUUCUGCAACACACCUUUCCUACUGUCAGUUGGGAUUAGAGGGAACUCCACAGUGAACUACUGAGUCUCUCUGGCAAGCUCCAUUUCAAGAGGAUCUGUCUUCCCCCUCCACCGCUCCUCUAAUGGAAAUGCCAUUGGGAGGAGUGUUUGGGAGGAUGGUGUGAGGCUGACGCUUCAGGGCAGAUAUGCAACAAAAGAAUUUUUUACCACCUUGUUGUCCCCAUUUCUUUUGUGCUUCCCUGUCUCUUCCCAGGGAGAUUGCUCCUUUCCUGAGUGAUGAGGUUUAAUUAUCUAUUUCAAUAUGUUUACACAUGCUGGUGCCAACUUUCCAAGGUUGAGAAGGUUGGAAAAGCACCUCCCAAAGUCCCGGGAGGACUCAUUAUCCUGAAUUUAUCUGAACUACUUUGUUCUGGAUACGACAUGGAUUGGGGAAGUCUUGCUUAGCAAGACUAGAGAAACUAGGAAGUUGCAGGGUCUCUGCAACAGAUGGCUUACAAAAGAAAAUUAACCCAACUGUUUUUGAACAUUGAGGGAAACAAAAAGAGUUUAGGGUGUUUCUUUGGGGGGGGAAGGUUCGGGUAGCCUGCUUCUUAUUUUUUCCGAACCAUUCUGCCCCCAUGUGCCUAGUCAGGAUCAACCUGCAUGUUUACGGUAACUAUAUUUCAGUGUAUUUUCAAAUGUAUCCUGCUCCCACCUUGUCAUUCACAGGACCAGGACAAAUGGUUAAGUUAGAUGUAUUUUUUUAAUGCAGACAAGUUGUGCAUUUGGUAAGAUAUGUGACAAAUGUAUGUGAGAUGUGCAUUUUCUCCAUAGGAGAGUUGUGACGGACACACAUUACAUGAAAAACAAAGACAUAAAGAAAAAGAAAAGAAAUUUACCUUAUGAAAAUCCUACAGAAUGUAAUAGCAAGUGAAAACCUUUCCAUGGAGUUUUCUGACCUCUAGAGAAUUAUACUUCUGCUACAGAAUUCUAUAGACCCAUCUCAAACAGUUUGUAGAAGGGAUCACAUUAUCUAUUAAAUCCUAUCAGUGAUUAGAGUAAUUUCUACAGAAGCCAGUUAUUUUCAAGUUACUAAAUUCUAUAAGAGUUUUCCAUAAAGAUCUUGCCUUUUUUGUAAAAAUCUUCUCCUGCUGUCUCUACCAUCCAAGAACAUAUAUGCCUCCUCCAUUGUCAGGAAUCUGGAAACAGUAUUCCCAUGGCUAUCAGCCAUUACCCAAUGGGCACAUGUACACAGCAGGGCUAAAGCCGAAAUAAGCUACGCAACUUGAACUAUGUCAGUUGUGAAGUUUAAGUUGAAAUAGCUUAAUUCAGCUUUUGGCACUGUCUACAUAGCAGGAAGUCUGAGUUAGAGCACUCUUCCUCUGAUUUCCCUUACUCCUUGUUAAAUGAGGUUUACAGGAGCUGGAGUAAGAAGUCCUCCAGCUCGACAUUAUUUUGACGUUAUCGAAAUAACUGCUGGUAGUGUAGAUGCGGACUGUGUUAUUUUGGAACGAUGUAGACACGGACUGUGUUAUGGGGUAGACGUACCCAAUGAGGGCCAAAGGGGCAAUAUUAAUCUUAAACUGAUCAAUUGCUUUGAGUCUCUUGUAAAAUGUAUUUCAAGCUUUAAAAUGACUGUAUAAAAAUGGACUUUUCUUAUGCAACAGAUCUGCUUCCUGCAUGUAUCCAGAAUCAGAGCUGCUCUCAUGCUAAGGUUUUCAGAAGUGACACAUGGUUUUGGAUUUUUCAAUUUGUGGAGGCCCAAUUUCAGAUGCCUUAAGGAUCUCUGCUUUACAGCACUUUCUGGAAAUCAGAUUAGCAAGUGUCUUCAGUUGGGCACCCAAAAAGUGAGGACUGCAAAGUUACUGGUUACUUUCUAGAUUUUGAAUUGCCUUUUACUCGUGUUAUUCCUGCAGAGCCAGCCUAGCUCAGAGAAGGUUCUGGAUCCUAUUCUUUCUUGUGCAGCAUCCACAGAAUUGAUUAGAGUGUUCUAAUUAGCAACAAAUGUGCAAAUCCACUGAGGGCCAUGGGUUUGCACAAGUGUUACUGGGGGCACAAUUUGACUUACGUGACUAGGUGAUGAACUGGAAAGAGUCCAGACUGGCUCUCAGAGCCCAGGCUGAGCUCACAGGGCUGACAUUGUUUUAUUUGUCAAAUAAUCAUGUUUGAUCUGGAGACUGGGAGAAGGAAGUGAGUGGUCCAUCAGAAAGUCACUUGGUGAGCAGAGCUGCAGUUAUGAAAUAUUUCUGAAAUUUCAUAGCUUGGAGCCGUGUAGCUAAAUGUUCCCUCCCUUAGUUUGCUUUCUACCAUAAAGCUGGGAAGUCUUUAGCAGGAGCCAUGACUUGUGUUCUGUGUUGAACAGAGGAGUGUCUUUAAAUACGGCAGACUCUUGUACCUUGGUAAGACACCUGUGCCCAGCAUGCUGCAUGCAGCCCAUGGGGGUUCCAUGUGUGGUCUGAAACAUUUUGUGUACUGUUGCCCACGCACAGGGCUGCCAAACUCUGCUGGUUUCUGUCAGUGUCGUUUUUUUUCCUAGUGGUAUUACUGAAGUGACACGCACAUAGAAAGGGCAUGUGGAGUGAGGGGCGGGCUGAUUGCACAUGACAACACUGACUGCGAGAGCCGUGCGCUCCCUCAGCAGCCAAUCAAAGCGCUGCUACCGUUGAGUCGGCGAAUCCUAAUUCUAGGCAUGCAAGCACAGUGAGAAAAACUGCCCUAUCCCAGGAGACUGUCUUGUGGCUCACGGAGCUGAAGGAGGGUCACUCAUGCAGCCCACUUGCUAGUCCAGGUUGUCCAUGGCUGCUCUAGUAGUUGAAUCAGCUCUCAGACAGCGCUGGUUCUCAUGUCUGUGCUCUCUACUGCCGCCAUCUGGCCAGUGGUUCCUGGAUUGGGCUGAGUCAGGAGUGGGGACAAGGAGGGUAAGAACUGGCUGGUGCAGAGUAAGGGGAUUUGGAGUCUUCAUUUCUAGGGAGCAGUUCCAAUGUGUUCCUGUGAGUGGCUGGCUCAAUGGAGCCACGAAGUGGGAUGUAGGGUCUUUCACCCCUAAAACACGGUUUCAAUUAGGCCCAGUUUAGGGGAGCUGGCUGGGUGAAUGGGAUGAGGGAGGAGCCUUUCAUCUGUACAGCAUCCUUUCUGAUAUGCCCACACGUCAGGGGCUCACAGGGCUGAGAAAAGGGACCCAGAACGUAUCACUUCUAGGUGGCUGGUUUCAAUUUGUUCUUAAUUUGUAGUGACUGACAUUCAUUCCCAUCUGGCAGCUCUUCCAUUUCCAUGUGACUUGGCAGAUCUCAGGCAAUGCUUAGUCACCACUGCCAAUUCCAUCCCUUUUCUUUGACUGCGCUGGGACUUCAGAGCUGGCAGGGAAAGGUAAGCAGAGCUGAUGAGUCCUGUCCUGGGUUUGCAGGGCGGGGGCUGUCUGUGGGAGGGCUUGGGCAUUGUGGUGGGCUUCUGGGGCGAUAUACCUCCUGCAGCAUGGGGACGUGCGUGUUCUCAUUCCAGUUCCAAGGUGGAAUGGCCCUGAGAUGUAUAGACAGGCCACUGCGCAGCUAACGCCUGGACCAUCCUUACCAUGUCCAGACAAUGGAUAUUGUCUGUGGAGCUGGCAGCACAGCCGGAAAAUGGAGCCAGAAUACUGUAUUCCUUCUCCUGUGGGCACCAGCCAGCGACUGUCCCAAGUGAGUGCCCAGUCCUGCUCUAACUGAAGCCAGCAUGGACCUUGUCUUUCAUGGGAGCAGGGUGAGACCCUGAAUCGCCAGAGUCCAUCCCAUUUGGCUUAAAUGUCCGAUAGAGGAAAAGAUCAGUAAACAGUAGACUGCCACCCUUCAAUACUCAAGAGGUACGCAGGCUGGCAUUAAGCUGAGUGGCACAAUCCCGAAAGGCUUGCUCUCAGCCUUCCCGUGUCAGGAGAAGGUCUCUCACAGGCUAGAGCCGUCCCUUCCUGCCAGCUCAGAGUAUCUCACACUGGCUGGUGUGAGGGAAAGUUUCUCUAGCUCACCCCCUUUUCGAUUUUCCCCGUGGCUUGCUUCAGCCAUUUCUAAACAAUGGGAAAUGUCUAAGCUACUGUUACCAAAAGAGCCUUUCAGAUACCAGUGAUCUGCAAUCAGCAUAUUGAAUGCUAGCUUGAGAAGUGGAAAGGAAUGAACAUUGUGCAGCUAGCACAUAGAAGAGGGAGUCUGAGAGGGACGUGCUGUGCCUUACCUCAGUGCAGGGAAGGAUAAACAGUGUGAGGUGCAGAUUGUGGAUCAAAUAUGCACCCGUAGCACAGCAGGGACAGUGUCCGCUAUGUUCAGAAGCCUUGGGGUCCAGAUGGGACCCUCUUUCAUAUCUAGUCUCUCCCCAGGUGAGAUGGACAGUGCUGAAUCUGUAGGAGAGUGAUCGACAUCUCUGCUGUAUCGGUGACUUUCUGUCUUUCUCCCCAGGGCAGUGUUUCUCAUUACACAGAAUAACUGGCCCCUUGCUGGAGACCACAGGGCCCUGUCCUGAUAGAGACGGGCUUGGUUACAGCAAUGUUGUGGCCCACGGAGAUGUAGGAGGGCCACUUAGAUGGUACACUCAUUGAUCUAAGCUGCCCAUUGCUGAGUUAGACCUUUCUCGUAUAUUUUUGUCUUCCCUUGCAUGGAUACGGACAGGUCUGUACAUGAGUAAUACAGACCAACUUGGGUUUCCCUAGUGCAGGCAGGUCUGGAUUGGGAUGGAAGCAAUGUAACCAGGCCAAGGCCCUGUUUUGGACAAUAUUUUCACCCCGACCUGGAAAUGUAGGGAUUGACCAAUUACCUGUUCAAUUAUGAAUGUUUCUUCUCAUGGCAUUCAACAAGGCACCCACCUGUUCUAAAAUGAGGGUAAGUGCUGCUGGUUAAACAUAUUAAGUGCUACACUUAAGAAGAGAGGGUUGCAGAACACCCCUGGUUGGGUGAGAACUCAGCCUCCACUUCCACCUUGCACUGACUCAAUGCUUGCUGCCUUCAGGAAUCUAGUCCAAGUUCUGCUCCUCUCAUGGGUACAACCAGUUUCCAUGCCUGUCAGGAAAAGUUCUGCUCCAGGAGAAAGGUGGCAGUUAUUUCCAGGAUAACUCUGACAGUUAAUUUCAAGAGAACACAGCAAUCCAGGCCAGCUUCACCUGAAUCCCAGGUCCCUUUGCAGGAGUGAUUAAAAAAUCAGUAAAAGCAUUUUCCCUUUUUGCCUCCCUUUCUAGAGGUCUCAAAUCCCAUUCAGGUUCUUGACCUAGAUCCCCAGAGUCCCAAUCCAGGCAAGCACAGGCACCCACUCCACUUCCUUCCACUGUUUCUGUGUAGUGCAUGGGGGAUCAGUGUAAAAAGAAGCAGCAGUUUUGUAGGUGUAUUUUGUUGUUUGAUGGUUUCAAUUUAUCUCCUCUGGUUUUGUGGAUGUUUUGCAUGAUUGGGGGAGUCACCCAUGGGUCCCAGGAUCUUCCAAACUACAGAGUGAGCCUCAAAAUCAUUUUACAAUGAGCAGGACUUUUAAAAAAAAGCUCUCUUUGGGGAUGGGGAAUAAGGGCUGGAGAGUGGGAGGUACAGUGAGCUCUGGGUGGCGUGGGUGGGGGAAUGGGGAGUGGCAUCUUGAAGCACGUUUAAAAGCAACCAAAGGUUUGGGGCUUAAGAUUUUGUAUUCUCAGCAUAUGAAACUGCUUUUGCAUAUGGGGACAGGACAAGGAUGGGUUGCAGCAGGGCAAUGUAAAGACUCUCUUCUCCAGCUGAGUGUGAUUUUUAUGGGGGACUGAAGGAAGAUUCUUUUAGUUCCCUAAGGACGGAUUUUAUGGAGGGCCACAGUUCUUCAUGGGGAAGGAAAAAGCAGAAUGAGAAGGGGGUCUGUCAUUGUAACCCUCAUACCCCUGCCUUGUCCCGUGCCACCCUCAAAUAAACAAAAACAAAAGUGAUUUGCCUUUGGUCUUCCAGCUCCAAAACUUCUUUGCCUGAACUCUUUUCGCUGGUUAUUCUUCGCAUGUUUUGAUAAUGUGACUUAUGAGAAAAAUCUCUAUAAAUAUAUAUACAUACCAUAUCUAUAAAUAUAUAUAUAAUAUAUAUAUAAAAACUAUACAUAUGGACAUAGGAAAUUACCUGGCAUUACAUACCUCCAUGCCUAUGAAAAGGGAGAUUAUGUAGGCCAACAGCAUGUACAGUCCUUAUGGAGUUAUUAUUAAACAGAAUGUG